UACGUAGGGGGCAAGCGUUGUCCGGAAUCAUUGGGCGUAAAGCGCGUGUAGGCGGCCCGAUAAGUCCGCUGUGAAAGUCCAGGGCUCAACCCUGGGAUGCCGGUGGAUACUGUCGGGCUCGAGUCCGGAAGAGGAGUGUGGAAUUCCUGGUGUAGCGGUGAAAUGCGCAGAUAUCAGGAGGAACACCAAUGGCGAAGGCAGCAAACUGGUCAUCAACUGACGCUGAGGCGCGAAAGCGUGGGUAGCAAACAGG
rnacentral:rRNA from 1 species